AGGAAGGUAGGGCUUUGUACAAAAGUUUUCAUUUUUUUAUCUUUAUAGCUACUAGGUACCAAACUCAAAGGCUAGUGUAAAUAUUUUGAAAAAUUUAAACGUAAUCAUAUGAAGCUAGCGUUAAGUAAUGAAAAAGUGCCCUCGAAAGGGUACAGCAGAAUUUCUAAAGAUCAAAUUUUAACCUCAAAAUUUUCCGAGUCCCAAGAAAGUCAAGUGUCCAAUAAAGACCAGCACAGUAAAGAAGAAAUAUUUAAACUGAUAAUGAAAAAGAAAGAUUACUUGAGGAGGCUACAAUUGCUAAAAAAGUACAAGGAGACCGUUAAAUGAAAAGGAGCGCUUAAUGAGCUUGAUAGAUGUCUGGAAGAAUGUCUGUCAAGCGGCCGUUGAAGAACUACAAACGCUCUGCUCUCAAAAUGAGAAGAUCACAAAAAAGCAAAUUUUUGAGCGGCUUAGUAUAAAUUAUAACUUACUGGGGUAUACCUAUGAGGAUCUUGAAUGAUGGUAAUAAAAUGCAGC